CAGCCGCCGCGGGAAUACGAAGGGGGCUAGCGUUGCUCGGAAUGACUGGGCGUAAAGGGCGCGUAGGCGGCAUAUACAGUCAGGCGUGAAAUUCCUGGGCUUAACCUGGGGACUGCGCUUAAUACAGGCAGUCUAGAGUGAGGAAGAGGGUUGUGGAAUUCCCAGUGUAGAGGUGAAAUUCGUAGAUAUUAGGAAGAACACCGGUGGCGAAGGCGGCGACCUGGUCCUUUACUGACGCUGAGGCGCGAAAGCGUGGGGAGCAAACAGGAUUAGAGACCCGCGUAGUCCCUGUCUCUUAUAC
rnacentral:rRNA from 1 species